rnacentral:rRNA from 1 species
UACGUAGGGUGCGAGCGUUGUCCGGAAUUAUUGGGCGUAAAGGGCUCGUAGGCGGUUUGUUACGUCGGGAGUGAAAACUCGGGGCUUAACCCCGAGCCUGCUUCCGAUACGGGCUGACUAGAGGUAUGCAGGGGAGAACGGAAUUCCUGGUGUAGCGGUGAAAUGCGCAGAUAUCAGGAGGAACACCGGUGGCGAAGGCGGUUCUCUGGGCAUUACCUGACGCUGAGGAGCGAAAGUGUGGGGAGCGAACAGG